rnacentral:lncRNA from 1 species
CGACCUUCGGGGGCUGAUUUUUGGGCGCGGCUCUGCCCGUGUUAUAUUUUUGGCACACGGAGGCCGCCGCAAAGUCUGGGGCCAUUCCGAGUUCGGCAGACGAACUUCGCCCACGCCCCCCACCAAGGCUAUAGCCCACCCGUUUUUUGGCCAUUUUUCCGCUGGGGGGUCUUGGCGCCCCCACCUUCGGGGGCUGAAUUUUGGGCGCGGCUGUGCCCGUGGCCUAUUUUUGGCACACGGAGGCCGCCCGCAAAGUCUGGGGCCAUUCCGAGUCCGGCGGACGAACUUCGCCCACGCCCCCCACCAAGGCUAUAGCCCACCCGUUUCUUGGCCAUUUUUCCGCUGGGGGGUCUUGGCACCCCGACCUUCGGGGGCUGAUUUUUGGGCGCGGCUCUGCCCGUGGCCUAUUUUUGGCACACGGAAGCCGCCCGCAAAGUCUGGGGCCAUUCCGAGUCCGGCGGACGAACUUCGCCCACGCCCCCCACCAAGGCUAUAGCCCACCCGUAUUUUGGCCAUUUUUCCGCUGGGGGGUCUUGGCACCCCGACCUUCGGGGGCUGAUUUUUGGGCGCGGCUCUGCCCGUGGCCUAUUUUUGGCACACGGAGGCCGCCCGCAAAGUCUGGGGCCAUUCCGAGUUCGGCGGACGAACUUCGCCCACGCCCCCCACCAAGGCUAUAGCCCACCCGUUUUUUGGCCAUUUUUCCGCUGGGGGGUCUUGGCGCCCUGACCUUCGGGGGCUGAUUUUUGGGCGCGGCUGUGCCCGUGGCCUAUUUUUGGCAUACGGAGGCCGCCCGCAAAGUCUGGGGCCAUUCCGAGUCCGGUGGACGAACUUCGCCCACGCCCCCCACCAAGGUAUAGCCCGCCCCCCCCUUUUUUUGGCCAUUUUUCCGCUGGGGGGGUCUUGCCGCCCCAACCUUCGGGGGCUGAUUUUGGGGCGCGGCUGUGCCCGUGGCCUAUUUUUGGUACCCGGAGGCCGCCCGCAAAGUCAGGGGCCAUUCCGAGUCCGGCGGACGAACUUCGCCCACGCCCCCCACCAAGGCUAUAGCCCACCCGUUUUUUGGCCAUUUUUCCGCUGGGGGGUCUUGGCGCCCCGACCUUCGGGGGCUGAUUUUUGGGCGCGGCUGUGCCCGUGGCCUAUUUUUGGCACACGGAGGCCGCCCGCAAAGUCUGGUGCCAUUCCGAGUCCGGCGGACGAACUUCGCCCACACCCCCCACCAAGGCUAUAGCCCACCCGUUUUUUGGCCAUUUUUCCGCUGGGGGGUCUUGGCACCCCGACCUUCGGGGGCUGAUUUUUGGGCGCGGCUCUGCCCGUGGCCUAUUUUUGGCACACGGAAGCCGCCCGCAAAGUCUGGGGCCAUUCCGAGUCCGGCGGACGAACUUCGCCCACGCCCCCCACCAAGGCUAUAGCCCACCCGUUUUUUGGCCAUUUUUCCGCUGGGGGGUCUUGGCGCCCCGACCUUCGGGGGCUGAUUUCUGGGCGCGGCUCUGCCCGUGGCCUAUUUUUGGCACACGGAAGCCGCCCGCAAAGUCUGGGGCCAUUCCGAGUCCGGCGGACGAACUUAGCCCACGCCCCCCACCAAGGCUAUAGCCCACCCGUUUUUUGGCCAUUUUUCCGCUGGGGGGUCUUGGCGCCCCGACCUUCGGGGGCUGAUUUUUGGGCGCGGCUCUGCCCGUGGCCUAUUUUUGGCACACGGAAGCCGCCCGCAAAGUCUGGAGCCAUUCCGAGUCCGGCGGACGAACUUCGCCCACGCCCCCCACCAAGGCUAUAGCCCACCCGUUUUUUGGCCAUUUUUCCGCUGGGGGGUGUUGGCACCCCGACCUUCGGGGGCUGAUUUUUGGGCGCGGCUGUGCCCGUGGCCUAUUUUUGGCACACGGAGGCCGCCCGCAACGUCUGGGGCCAUUCCGAGUCCGGCGGACGAACUUCGCCCACGCCCCCCACCAAGGCUAUAGCCCACCCGUUUUUUGGCCAUUUUUCCGCUGGGGGGUGUUGGCACCCCGACCUUCGGGGGCUGAUUUUUGGGCGCGGCUGUGUCCGUGGCCUAUUUUUGGCACACGGAGGCCGCCCGCAACGUCUGGGGCCAUUCCGAGUCCGGCGGACGAACUUCGCCCACGCCCCCCACCAAGGCUAUAGCCCACCCGUUUUUUGGCCAUUUUUCCGCUGGGGGGUCUUGGCACCCCGACCUUCGGGGGCUGAUUUUUGGGGGCGGCUCUGCCCGUGGCCUAUUUUUGGCACACGGAGGCCGCCCGCAAAGUCUGGGGCCAUUCCGAGUCCGGCGGACGAACUUCGCCCACGCCCCCCACCAAGGCUAUAGCCCGCCCACCCUUUUUUUGGCCAUUUUUCCGCUGGGGGGUCUUGGCGCCCCGACCUUCGGGGGCUGAUUUUUGGGCGCGGCUGUGCCCGUGGCCUAUUUUUGGCACACGGAGGCCGCCCGCAAAGUCUGGUGCCAUUCCGAGUCCGGCGGACGAACUUCGCCCACACCCCCCACCAAGGCUAUAGCCCACCCGUUUUUUGGCCAUUUUUCCGCUGGGGGGUCUUGGCACCCCGACCUUCGGGGGCUGAUUUUUGGGCGCGGCUCUGCCCGUGGCCUAUUUUUGGCACACGGAAGCCGCCCGCAAAGUCUGGGGCCAUUCCGAGUCCGGCGGACGAACUUCGCCCACGCCCCCCACCAAGGCUAUAGCCCACCCGUUUUUUGGCCAUUUUUCCGCUGGGGGGUCUUGGCGCCCCGUCCUUCGGGGGCUCAUUUUUGGCGCGGCUCUGCCCGUGGCCCAUUUUUGGCACACGGAAGCCGCCCGAAAGUCUGGGGCCAUUCCGAGUCCGGCGGACGAACUUAGCCCACGCCCCCCACCAAGGCUAUAGCCCACCCGUUUUUUGGCCAUUUUUCCGCUGGGGGGUCUUGGCGCCCCGACCCUCGGGGGCUGAUUUUUUGGGCGCGGCUCUGCCCGUGGCCUAUUUUUGGCACACGGAAGCCGCCCGCAAAGUCUGGGGCCAUUCCGAGUCCGGCGGACGAACUUCGCCCACGCCCCCCACCAAGGCUAUAGCCCACCCGUUUUUUGGCCAUUUUUCCGCUGGGGGGUGUUGGCACCCCGACCUUCGGGGGCUGAUUUUUGGGCGCGGCUGUGCCCGUGGCCUAUUUUUGGCACACGGAGGCCGCCCGCAAAGUCUGGGGCCAUUCCGAGUCCGGCGGACGAACUUCGCCCACGCCCCCCACCAAGGCUAUAGCCCGCCCACCCGUUUUUUGGCCAUUUUUCCGCUGGGGGGUCUUGGCGCCCCGACCUUCGGGGCCUGAUUUUUGGGCGCGGAUGUGCCCGUGGCCUGUUUUUGGCACACGGUGGCCGCCCGCAAAGUCUGG